GUGGGGAAUAUUGGACAAUGGGCGCAAGCCUGAUCCAGCCAUGCCGCGUGAGUGAUGAAGGCCCUAGGGUUGUAAAGCUCUUUCACCGGUGAAGAUAAUGACGGUAACCGGAGAAGAAGCCCCGGCUAACUUCGUGCCAGCAGCCGCGGUAAUACGAAGGGGGCUAGCGUUGUUCGGAAUUACUGGGCGUAAAGCGCACGUAGGCGGACAUUUAAGUCAGGGGUGAAAUCCCGGGGCUCAACCCCGGAACUGCCUUUGAUACUGGGUGUCUGGAGUAUGGAAGAGGUAAGUGGAAUUCCGAGUGUAGAGGUGAAAUUCGUAGAUAUUCGGAGGAACACCAGUGGCGAAGGCGGCUUACUGGUCCAUUACUGACGCUGAGGUGCGAAAGCGUGGGGAGCAAACAGGAUUAGAUACCCUUGUAGUCC
rnacentral:rRNA from 1 species